rnacentral:snoRNA from 1 species
CCCUUCUCAGCAUCACCCCUGGAGAGUUUCCAGUACUCUACCAGUCUCGACUAUGGGAAGGAGAGUCAAACAGAGGCUUACCCAUUCCACUCCUAGCUUGGGCAGUGGCUAGUGAGUGGAAGGCAACCUGCUACAAGU